CUAGCCCUGGGGUAAGCCAGCUGCUUCUUAUGAAGAGGUGCAAGUGGACAAGAACUGAUGUCUCCAGCCCACAGCCAGAGAGGACCUGAGGCCUGCCAGCAGCCGUCGAAGUCACUCCUGAGGGAGACUCUGGGAGUUGUUUGUUUUUUCCUGGACCUAAUUGCUAUUCUGGGAAAGAAGAAGGGAUGUGAUGAACAGCCUUUAAGCAUGCAGCAAAGGAAGUAUCCCUGGAAUGUAAAAGGGAGAAGACAAUAGCUGUACACCCAGAUUGGCGGGAACGUAUGAGCAGAGGAGAUAACACAUGUGAGAGGCCCAAAGGUCAAAGAGGAAACCAGAGUUCAAAAUGUGGUUUUGCAAGCUCUGCUUCAACGGAAUUGUUUUUUUUUUUUUUGACAAGCCUAGAUUUCUUUUUUUACUGUCACAGAGGGCAAUUUCCUGCACUAUGCUUAUUAUGCUUUUAAAUUCUCUAAGACUUCUCCUGUCCAUCAGUGAUCUACCAGUGCAUUCACAGUAAGAGCUGAACUCUUCCCUUUAUGCUGUGGGGGACCUGUGUGAUCUGACUGCUCGUCCAUUGCUUUGAGGAUUCUGGAUAAAUUUGUGCACAUUUUUGGAGACCUCUAUGGUAGGCUAUUUUUAAAGAUCUGUUUGUGCCUUAUGUCAGAAGUCUGUGAUGGGAGUACUGGAGACAUUGGGAUUUGGUUCAGAAAUUCCAGACACACCACAAACAGAUGUCAUAUGUUUUUUGCUUUAUAAUUUCCAGUCCCAUGGAGGUUUCAUACAUGAUCCUACAGAAAAUGAGACUGAGAAAUUCCAUCAGAGCAUAAAGCAUCUCAUUAAAUAUGAAAAAAAUCUGUUUUACUUUAAGAUUUUCUUUUUCUUAGCAGGAGCUAAGUUUACAAAUCUAAACUCUGUAUGUCAAAUUCCUCUACUGUAGAAUAGUUUAUUGUAUCUACUCACCUCAUAAAAACUUUAAAAACACAAAUAUCAUAGAGAAACUUAGAACACUGCCCAGCAUGUAGCAAAUUUUAAAUUGUUACCUACUUCUUAUUAACUAUCAUCUUAGAAUUCUGUCUUUAGCAUAGAAAUUACCAGGACUGUAUCCUAGGUGUUUUUACUUUCUGAUUGAUCACAUGCCAAAUUUGCCUGUAAUUUUAGUUUCAAAGUUCUGAAAUAACAUGCUUGAUUUUGUUAUAUAAAAAGAAAAUUAGAUAAUUAGGAGGCACUCCACUUUUAUUUAAAUGUUUGGUUUCUAUGUUUAAGUUUACUCUUUGUAAAAAGUUGUCAUUAGCGAGGUGCAUGCCUCCCGGGUUCAAGUGAUUCUCCUGCCUCAGCUUUUUGAGUAGCUGGGACUACAGGCACCCGCCUUCGUGCCUA
rnacentral:lncRNA from 10 species